ensembl:lncRNA
UUAAAUACAGAAUGUUUUCCCUGUUGUUUGUGGUUUGUUUUUUUUUUUAAAUGGUGUCUUGCUGUGUUGCCCAGACUGGAGUGUAGUGGCAUCCAUUGCUUACUUUUAUCAGGUUUAUCCAAAAUCAGAUCGUUGUAUAGUUGCCGGUGUGCAGCCUUAUUUCUAAGUUUUCUAUUCUGUUCCAUUGGUAUAUGUGUCUGUUUUUGUUUCAGUACCAUGCUGUUUUGGUUAUUGUAGCCUUGUAAGUCUAGUUUGCAGUUGGGUAGCAUGAUGCCUUUAGCUUUGUUUUUUUUUGCUUGAGAUUGUCUUGGGUAGUCAGGUUAUUUUUUGGACCUAUCUGAAUUUUAAAAGUUUUUUCUGGUUCUGUUAAACAUGUCAUUGGUAGUUUAAUGGGAAUAGCAUCAAAUCUAUAAACUGUUUGGGGCAGUAUGGCCAUUUUUACAAUUAUGAUUUUUUCCUGUAUAUUAAGCAUGAAAUGGUUUUCCAUUUGUUUGUGUUGUCUAAUUUUUGAGCAGCAUUUUGUAUAUCUUCCUGUACAAUCUUUCAAACUUACUAGUUAGCUGUAUUCCUGGGAAUAAUUUUUUUUGUGUGUGGCAGUUCUGAGUGGGACUCUGUUCUUUAUUUGGCUCUCAGCUUGACUGUUGUUGGAAUAUGGCAAUGUUAGUUAUUUUCACACAGUGAAUUUGUAUCCUGAGAGUUUACUGAAGUUGUUUGUCAGCUUCAGAAGCUUUUGGGGUGAUAAUAUGGGAUUUUUUAAGCAUAAGAUAAUGUUAUCUGCAAACAGGGAUAGUUUGACUUCCUGUCUUUCUAUUUGCAUGCCCUUUUUUUUUUCUCUUGCCUGAUUGCCUUGGCCAGGACUUCCAGUACUGUGUUGAAUAGGAGUGGUGAGAGAAGCCAUCCUUGUCUUGUGCCAGUUUUCAAAGGGAAUACUUCCAAAUUUGCCAAUUCAGUAUGAUAUUGAAUGUGCAUUUGUUGUAUAUGGCUGUUAUUAUUUUGAGACAUGAACAGCAAUCACUGGCAGUGAAGGUCACCUCACUUGAGACAACAUCUGACUCUGCAAAUCUGCAUAUGGGGAAGGUAAGGUUAGUGUGUAGAAAGAAGCACACUUACUCUAAUUGGAGUAGGUGGUAACCUCGCGCCUGUAACCCCAGUACUUUGGGAUGCCAAGGCAAGUGGAUCACCUGAGGUCAGGGAUUCAAGACCAACCUAGCCAACAUGGCAAAACCUACUCUACUAAAAAUACAAAAGUUAGCUGGGCAUGGUGGCACACACCUAUAAUCCCUGCUACUUAGGCCGAGACAGGAGAAUCGCUCGCAACCAGGAAGCAGAGGUUGCAGGGAGCUGAUGUCAUGCCACUGCACUGCAGUCCAACCUGGGCAGCAGAGUGAGAUCUCAUCUCAAACAAAACAGAACUGUCAUCAGAUGACUCUAGUUAGGUAGAUUUUCAUUGAUAAAAUAUGCAGGGCUGAUUCCAUCAGAGCAGAACCAGAGAAAAUAAAGUUCCAUGGUGAUUUAGCAGCUUCACCUCUCUGCAACUUCCAGCCUACACUUAUGGAUGGAUGAUCUUGUGGACACUGGAUAUUCCUAGCCAUCUCCAAAAAUUGUCAUCCUCUAUGUCUAACAGAAAAGUGGUAUGUCCGUCUUUAGCUUGUAAACCCUGAAUAACAGACAGAGACUUCUAGUCAGGGAAUCUCCCUGAGAUUUCUGUCCUGGGUUUGACUGGAGAAGACUCAUCAGGCACCCCUGAGUUUCCUCAGGACUCUGAUCAUGGUGACCAUGGUUUAGGACUUUUCAUCUCUGUAAGUGUCAGUCUUUAUUUGGUGCAUGUGAGAAUAGGUCCUCAUAUUUAAUUGAUUUUUUAAAAAUAUGUAGAGAUCAUAUUAGGAAGCACUGAAUUCUAAACAGAGAGGUUCACUAGAGAAACGCUAAGAUGAUGUCCCACAUCCGGACAGGAAAUCAGCCUCUAUCUGCACCUGCCUCUGAGGUUCAUCCUGAUCAGUGAGCCCUGUGCGCCCCCUACAGCUGAUUUCCCACAGCAUUCCUGCAGGGAGGUUCGUAUCUGGGCCCACACUGACUUCCCCUCAC